UUUGGAUGCAUUUCUGCCAGAGCAACUGCCUUUUCCUUAUAUUCAAAUGAAAUAAAUUCAUAAUCGCAAAAAGACUGCAAUUCCUCUGGGAUGAACUCGGCACUCUCUUUACUUGUAUAUUCAUCCUUACACUAUGAACAAAGAAAUUACAUUGUUACGAUUCUCUUUUAUGCCACGUUCACUGACUUACAAGUUAAUAAAUAAAAAUCCAAAAGACACGAUCAUUAGCAAAACAUUUAAAACAUACCUGUUCAUAUUCUUUCCAUUUGUCAACAGUAAUGUCAUCGGCAACUAUAAGAUCUUCGUCUGUUAUAAUUUUUUGAUCUUCCAGCAUGAACUUGAU
rnacentral:lncRNA from 1 species